rnacentral:piRNA from 1 species
UGCAAAGGGAAACACAAUGCCUCAGUCC